rnacentral:rRNA from 1 species
GAUGAACGCUGGCGGCGUGCCUAAUACAUGCAAGUCGAGCGAACGGACGAGAAGCUUGCUUCUCUGAUGUUAGCGGCGGACGGGUGAGUAACACGUGUAUAACCUACCUAUAAGACUGGGAUAACUUCGGGAAACCGGAGCUAAUACCGUAUAAUAUUUUGAACCGCAUGGUUCAAAAGUGAAAGACGGUCUUGCUGUCACUUAUAGAUGGAUCCGCGCUGCAUUAGCUAGUUGGUAAGGUAACGGCUUACCAAGGCAACGAUGCAUAGCCGACCGGAGAGCGUGAUCGGCCACCCUGGAACUGAGACACGGUCCAGACUACUACGGGACGGAGCAGAAUGGAAUCUUACGCAAUGGGCGAAAGCCUGACGGAGCAACGCGGCGUGAGUGAUGAAGGUCUUCGGAUCGUAAAACUCUGUUAUUAGGGAAGAACAUAUGUGUAAGUAACUGUGCACAUCGUGACGGUACCUAAUCAGAAAGCCACGGCUAACUACGUG